rnacentral:rRNA from 1 species
UACGAAGGGGACUAGCGUUGUUCGGAAUCACUGGGCGUAAAGCGCACGUAGGCGGAUGUGUCAGUCAGGGGUGAAAUCCCGAGGCUCAACCUCGGGCCUGCAGUGGAUACGGGCAGACUAGAGGCAGGUAGGGGAGAAUGGAAUUCCCGGUGUAGCGGUGAAAUGCGUAGAGAUCAGGAGGAACACCCGGGGCGAAGGCGGCCCUCUGGCUCGACCCUGACGCUGAGGCGCGAAAGCGUGGGGAGCGAACGGG